AGGUGAUAUGGCUUGUACUUGGCUGUUUUUCUGUUCAGACGUUUGCCGUUGGAGCUCAGCCAUCAUGUCAUGAGACAGCCCAGGAUACACGAAGAGGCUGUGUGUCUGUCUUCUGGCCAGAAGCCCCAGCCAAGGUCUCAACUGAUAGCCUGCAUCAGGCACUGGCACAACUCCUGGUCUCCUUGGGGCACGCUUACAAGUGCUGAGCUCUUGCGAGGAGGAACUCGAGAUACAAAAUACGCUUCGCACACGCACUCCUGAGCGGCCACAGGCACACGCAGGAGUCAAACCCAGCCGCCUCUCUGACAGUCAUGGGCCAAGCUCAAAGUCCGGGCUGCUUCUCUGCUCAAGGCUUCCUUCCUCUGCGAGAUUGUCGCCUGCAGCAACCGGGUCUUACCCUGAAAGGGGAGAAAGCGCUGCUCUCCAUAAUCAUCCAACAGUUUGUACUUUGACACUGAUUGGCUCAUCCCUGAACUACUCUAAGCAAAUACUACGAGUUAAUUGGUUUGGGUCUAGAUUAUUGUCCAUACAUCAACCAAUUACUGUGGCAGAGGAGGAGGUCAACAGGAAAGCUCAGUUCAUGGUGUCACUCCGGGAACCAGGCUGCCAGAGGUUCCAUCUCAAUAUAAGCUUUCACUAUUACUGCACAGCAGGGGAAGAAAGCUGGAGAGGCCAUCAGUCAAAUGUUUCUACCUGGAAAUGACACACGUGAGUUCUGCCCACAUUUCAUUGGUGCAAGCAAGUGAGAUGCCAUGCCCAACUUUAAGCAGAGCAGAAAAUCAGACCUCCUGCAUGCCUGGAAGGAGAGGGGAGCUGUAUCAGUGACCAGCAAUGAUGUCUGACACAGCAAGAAUGGCUGCCAAUCAGCAAAUACUCAUGGCCAUGCUUCUGAAAUCAUUACAAGAGAAUGGAGUGGCUCUGGUGAACUGGAAAGACCACUAUCUCUGAGUCAGAACGUCUAGGGUGGAGUGUGAUUGAAAUUUACUAGCUAUGAAUCUCUAGGCAAGGAAUCUUUUUAAAAAAUAUUUUUUUUUUGCGAUGGUGUCUCACUAUGUUGCCCAGGUUGGAUUCGAACUCCUGUACUCAAGUGAUCUUCCCCUACCUCCAGGGUAAGUGCUGGGUCCUCUGCCCUCCUGGACAACCUGAGGAUGCCUCUGUCUCUUAGCAGCUCUGACCCUGUGUGCAGUUUUCCCUUAUGGUUUUGCUGGAGAAAGGCUUUUGCUAAGCCUCACUGGGAUGUGAUGAGGGCUAAUUAGAUAAUGCCUGGGAAGCCCUUGGAGCUCCUUCGAGAUGGGCUCUCUCUCUAUGUAUUAUUAAUAGUGGUAGAGCACAGUGUUUCCAAACCGAGGACUGUGUGGGGAAAGAAGGGCAGAAUAGGGCUGCAGAGGAGACGUGGCCACAGGAGUCCAUUUUUGGAGAAGGCUGUCAGCCUUCAGUCUCAUCCUGUGAUCUGGGAGGCUGGGGUAAAGGACAGGGACCGCCAUUAAGAAGUGGAAAUGUGGGUGUCCCCUCACAGACUGUAUGUGCAUGAGCAACAUGAGUGGGCAAAGGACGGUUCCUGCUAAACCUGUCUGUGGCACUGAUGUGGGAGCCGAGAAGAGACAUCAGUUAGGCUGAGUCCCAGCUGGGCUGUGCCCUCCCAGGCUUUUUCCAAUCAGGGGAACUGUGCUGGCUUUUAGGACUACUUCCUGGACUGGCCAGCAUUACCCCCAAGAGAACUCUCUGCUAACUAGCCAGCUUUUGUUUUCUAAGGGAGGAGGGCAAAUGACCACCCUGACUAACCCUCUCCACCUGUGUGAAGGUUGUUUGAGACGUGCCUUAUGCAGAUUUCAGUAUCAAAUGGCCUAGUCAUUAGAGGACUAAUUUGGGGAUGUCUAAUCCUGUGGGAACAGUUGGGUCUCUCCUCCCAUUGUCUCCUGUCACUGGAGGAUGUAGCUGGUAGACCUGGCACCUCUGUCCCUGUUGACUGCCCUGUAUCUCCUUGGGUGGGUGGGUGGCUGUCCCCCAAAAGAUAUGUUGAAGUCUGUUAUGAACCAAAUGUUUGCAUCCCUCCAAAAUUUCUAUAUUGAAGCCUUAACCCCCAGUGUGAUGUCAUUUGGAGGUGGGGCCUUUGGGAGAUAAUUAGGCUUAGAUGAGGUCAUAAGGGUGGGGCCCUCAUGCUGGGAGCAGUGCCCUUGUUUUUUGUUGUGUUUUGAGAUGGAGUCUUAU